rnacentral:rRNA from 1 species
CGGACGGGUGAGUAAUGUCUGGGAAACUGCCUGAUGGAGGGGGAUAACUACUGGAAACGGUAGCUAAUACCGCAUAACGUCGCAAGACCAAAGAGGGGGCCUUCGGGCCUCUUGCCAUCGGAUGUGCCCAGAUGGGAUUAGCUAGUAGGUGGGGUAAAGGCUCACCUAGGCGACGAUCCCUAGCUGGUCUGAGAGGAUGACCAGCCACACUGGAACUGAGACACGGCCCAG